rnacentral:rRNA from 1 species
AACGAACGCUGGCGGCAUGCCUAGCACAUGCAAGUCGAACGAGAUCUUCGGGUCUAGUGGCGCACGGGUGCGUAACGCGUGGGAAUCUGCCCUUUGGUUCGGAAUAACAGUUGGAAACGACUGCUAAUACCGGAUGAUGACGAAAGUCCAAAGAUUUAUCGCCAGAGGAUGAGCCCGCGUAGGAUUAGCUAGUUGGUGUGGUAAAGGCGCACCAAGGCGACGAUCCUUAGCUGGUCUGAGAGGAUGAUCAGCCACACUGGGACUGAGACACGGCCCAGACUCCUACGGGAGGCAGCAGUGGGGAAUAUAGGACAAUGGGCGAAAGCCUGAUCCAGCAAUGCCGCGUGAGUGAUGAAGGCCUUAGGGUUGUAAAGCUCUUUUACCCGGGAUGAUAAUGACAGUACCGGGAGAAUAAGCUCCGGCUAACUCCGUGCCAGCCGCCGCAGUAA